UACAGAGGGUGCGAGCGCUAAUCGGAAGUACUGGGCGUAAAGCGCAUGUAGGUGGCGACGUAAGUCGGGUGUGAAAGCCCCGGGCUCAACCUGGGAAUUGCAUUCGAGACUGCAUUGCUGGAGUACGGAAGAGGAGGGCGGAAUUCCCGGUGUAGCGGUGAAAUGCGUAGAUAUCGGGAGGAACAUAAGUGGCGAAGGCGGCCCUCUGGUCCAGUACUGACACUCAAGUGCGAAAGCGUGGGGAGCAAACAGG
rnacentral:rRNA from 1 species